GUGGGGAAUCUUGCGCAAUGGGCGAAAGCCUGACGCAGCCAUGCCGCGUGAAUGAUGAAGGUCUUAGGAUUGUAAAAUUCUUUCACCGGGGACGAUAAUGACGGUACCCGGAGAAGAAGCCCCGGCUAACUUCGUGCCAGCAGCCGCGGUAAUACGAAGGGGGCUAGCGUUGCUCGGAAUUACUGGGCGUAAAGGGCGCGUAGGCGGACAGUUUAGUCAGAGGUGAAAGCCCAGGGCUCAACCUUGGAAUUGCCUUUGAUACUGGCUGUCUUGAGUACGGGAGAGGUGAGUGGAACUCCGAGUGUAGAGGUGAAAUUCGUAGAUAUUCGGAAGAACACCAGUGGCGAAGGCGACAUACUGGCUCAUUACUGACGCUGAGGCGCGAAAGCGUGGGGAGCAAACAGGAUUAGAUACCCUGGUAGUCC
rnacentral:rRNA from 1 species